rnacentral:snoRNA from 1 species
GGUAAUGAUGAUCUCUGGUGAUUCUGAGACUCCUUGAUGUCAUCACCGCAGCGCGCUGACU